rfam:Oryza nivara chromosome 1, whole genome shotgun sequence.
AAUAAGUGCAGUUUUACACUAUUCAUGUUCAACGUUUAACCAUCCGUCUUAUUUGAAAAUUUUUUAUGAUUAGUAUUUUUAUUGCUAUUAGAUGAUAAAACAUGAAUAAUACUUUAUGUGUGACUAAAUGUUUUUAAUUUUUUCACAAAUUUUUCAAAUAAGACGGACGGUCAAACGUUGAACGUGAAUAGUGCAAAACUGCACUUAUU